CCUACGGGGGGCAGCAGUCGGGAAUAUUGCGCAAUGGAGGAAACUCUGACGCAGUGACGCCGCGUAUAGGAAGAAGGUCUUCUGAUUGUAAACUCCUUUUGUUAGAGAAGAUAAUGACGGUAUCUAACGAAUAAUCACCGGCUAACUCCGUUCCAGCAGCCGCGGUACUACGGAGGGUGCAAGCGUUACUCGGAAUCACUGGGCGUAAAGAGCGCGUAGGCGGGAUAGCAAGUCAGAUGUGAAAUCCUAUGGCUUAACCAUAGAACUGCAUUUGAAACUGUUAUUCUAGAGUAUGGGAGAGGUAGGUGGAAUUCUUGGUGUAGGGGUAAAAUCCGUAGAGAUCAAGAGGAAUACUCAUUGCGAAGGCGACCUGCUAGAACAUAACUGACGCUGAUGCGCGAAAGCGUGGGGAGCAAACAGGAUUAGAUACCCCAGUAGUC
rnacentral:rRNA from 1 species